GGCCACUCGGUGUCCCCCUGAGCCGUAUCCAGGGCCACUCGGGGCUCAGCCAGACCGCGAGGUCUUGGUGUUCGUUCCUCCCUAACUUGGCCGUGGGGCGGCACAGCAGGCUUCCUGGCCCCAGCGCUUCCCCUUAGGGCCAGAUUGGCCUCCGAGUGUAGCAGGACUAGCCACAGACAAAACUCCUCAGACACCGAGUUAAAGAAGGAAGGGGUUUAUUCAGCGAGGGCCAUUGGCAAGACUCCUGUCUCAAGAGCCGAGAUCCCCAAGUGAGCAAUUCCUGUCCUUUUUAAGGGCUCACAACUCUAAGGGGGUGCGUGUGAGAGGGUGGUGAUUGAUUGAGCAAGCAGGGGGUACAUGACCGGGGGCUGCACGCACUGGUAAUUAGAUCAGAACAAAACAGGAUAGCGAUUUUCACAAUGCAUUUCUAUACAAUGUCUGUAAUCUAUAGAUAACAUAACCGAUUAGGUCAGGGGUCGAUCUUUAACUACCAGGCCCAGGGUGCGGCCUGGGCUGUCGGCCUGUGGAUUUCAUUUCUGCCUUUUAGUUUUUACUUCUUUUUUUUGGAGGCAGAAAUUGGGCAUAAGACGAUAUGAGGGGUGGUCUCCUCCCUUAGGAGGAAGCGAAUUAGCUGACGUAGUCUCCAGCCAGAGGCUCGGCUAGCUCCGUGAGAAGCGAUCCCCGUGGGAUCUUAAGAACACCCUCGAGGCCGGGCGUGGUGGCACGCCCCUGUAAUCCCAGCACUUUGGGAGGCCGAGGCGGCGGAUCACGAGAUAGGAGAUCGAGAUCUGGCUAACAUGGUGAAACCCCGUCUCUACUAAAAAUACAAAAAAUUAGCCGGGCGCGGGGGCACCCGCCUGUAGUCCCAGCUGGGAGGCUGAGGCAGGAGAAUGGCGUGAACCCGGGAGGCGGAGGUUGCAGUGAGCCGAGAUCGCGCCACAGCACUCCAGCCUGGGCGACAAGGGCGAGACUCCGUGUCAAAAAAAAAAAAAAAAAAAAAAAGAAAGAAAAACAAAUGAGGCUAGCUACUUUUUUUUUUUUUUUUUUUUGAGACGGAGUCAACACAGAUUUUCAGGCUGGGCACAGUGGCUCACGCCUGUAAUCCCAGCACUUUGGGAGGCUGAGGCGGGUGGAUCACCUAAGGUCAGG
rnacentral:lncRNA from 1 species